rnacentral:rRNA from 1 species
UACGUAGGUGGCAAGCGUUGUCCGGAAUUACUGGGCGUAAAGGGCGCGCAGGCUGUUAUGCGAGUCUGCUGUGAAAUGUACCGGCUCAACCGGUGCCUUGCGGCGGAUACUGCAUAGCUGGAGUACUGGAGAGGGAAGUGGAAUUCCCGGUGUAGUGGUGGAAUGCGUAGAUAUCGGGAGGAAUACCAGUGGCGAAGGCGGCACCCUGGCAUUGACCUGACGCUGAGGUGCGAAAGCGUGGGGAGGCGAACGGGGAUUAGA